rnacentral:lncRNA from 10 species
GUCCCCGGGCCCGCCGUGAGGAGAGUGAAGUGGUGGAGAGGGACGCUCGUGCCACCCCGGGUCCUCCUACCGUCUCUAUCAUGUACAAAAUCACUCUUGGGAUGCUGCUUCCCAUCGAUGGAUUCUGUUUUCCACUCCUCUUGGCAUCUAAGUGUGGCCUUGUGAUUGGUUCUCACCAAUGGGAUGGGAUGGAAGCGAUACAGGCCUCUUCCGAGCCAAUGCUCUUAAGAAACAUGUAUGUUGGCCAGGCACGGUGGCUCACGCCUAUAAUCACAGCACUUUGGGAGGCCGAGACGGGAGGAUCAGCUGAGUCCAGGAGUUCGAGACCAGCCUGGCCAACAUGGCGAAACUCCAUCUCUACUAAAAGUACAAAAAUUAGCCAGGCGUGGUGGGCGCUUAUAAUCCCAGCUACUCCGGAGGCUGAGGCAGGAGAAUUGCUUGAACCUAGGAGGCAAAGGUUGCAGUGAGCCGAGAUCCCACCACUGCACUUCAGUAUGGGCAAAAGAGUGAGACUCCAUCUCAAAAAAAAAAAAGAAACAUCUGCCUGCUUCCUGCUCUUUCAAGGCCCUAAAGAAAGAGGGGAGCCCCAAGAAACCUGGGUCCCUGAAUGACCACCUUGUGGAAAUACAUCCUGUCACCUAACAUCUAUCCUAGAUUGCUACAUGAUCAAGAAAUACACAUCUAACUUGUACACCCAAUGCUCAUAGCAGCAUUAUUCACAAUAGCCAAGAGGUGGAAGCAACCCAGUGUCCAUUGACAGAUGAGCGAAUAAACAAAAUGUGGCACAUAAAUGCAAUGGAAUAGACCAGACGCGGUGGCUCACAUCUGUAAUCCCAGCACUUUGGGAGGCCAAGGCGGGCGAAUCACCUGAGGUCAAGAGUUUGAAACCAGCCUGGCCAACAUAGUGAAACCCUGUCUCUACUAAAAAUACAAAAAAUUAGCCAGGCGUGGUGGCGGGCGCCUGUAGUCCCAGCUACUUGGGAGGCUGAGGCAGGAGAAUCACUUGAACCCAGAGGCGCAGGCUGCAUUGAGCCAAGAUCAUGCCACUGCACUGCAGCCUGGUAAACAGAGCCAGACUCCGUCUCAAAAAAUAAAAAUAAAUAAAUAAAUACAAUGGAAUAUUUUUUAGCCUUAAAAAGAGAGAAA